rnacentral:rRNA from 1 species
GAUGAACGCUGGCGGCGUGCCUAAUACAUGCAAGUCGAGCGAAUGGAUUAAGAGCUUGCUCUUAUGAAGUUAGCGGCGGACGGGUGAGUAACACGUGGGUAACCUGCCCAUAAGACUGGGAUAACUCCGGGAAACCGGGGCUAAUACCGGAUAACAUUUUGAACCGCAUGGUUCGAAAUUGAAAGGCGGCUUCGGCUGUCACUUAUGGAUGGACCCGCGUCGCAUUAGCUAGGUGGUGAGGUAACGGAUCGCCAAGGCGACGAUGCGUAGCCGACCUGGGAGGGUGAUCGGCCACACUGGGACUGAGACACGGCCCAGACUCCUACGGGAGGCAGCAGUAGGGAAUCUUCCGCAAUGGACGAAAGUCUGACGGAGCAACGCCGCGUGAGUGAAGAAGGUUUUCGGAUCGUAAAACUCUGUUGUUAGGGAAGAACAAGUACCAUAGUAACUGAUGGUACCUUGACGGUACCUAACCAGAAAGCCACGGCUAACUACGUGCCAGCCGCCGCCGUAA